rnacentral:rRNA from 1 species
UACGUAGGAGGCAAGCGUUGUCCGGAAUUACUGGGCGUAAAGCGCGCGUAGGUGGUUUGUUAAGUUGGAUGUGAAAGCCCCGGGCUCAACCUGGGAACUGCAUCCAAAACUGGCAAGCUAGAGUACGGUAGAGGGUGGUGGAAUUUCCUGUGUAGCGGUGAAAUGCGUAGAUAUAGGAAGGAACACCAGUGGCGAAGGCGACCACCUGGACUGAUACUGACACUGAGGUGCGAAAGCGUGGGGAGCAAACAGG